CAAGAAGCAGUGGAUGGAACAAGAGCCAAUUUCCUGGCUGUAAGAAGGAUCGAUCCCGUGAAAAAACGCCUGGCCUCCCGGAGUUGUGAGUUCUCCAUCGCCGGAGGUUUCCAAGAGAAGCCUCGACAGCCAUUCGACUGGGAUGCUCUCAGGGCUCCUGGCUUGGGCAGGGGGCUGGACUAGAGGACCUCCCGGGUCCCUUCCUCCCCGCCCUGGGAUGCCACGCUUCUCUCCAGCUCUGCCCCACCUGGCUCCCAGCCGUGGGGCGAGGGCUGUUUCCACACCCCGAGAGGCAAAAAUGACAGCAGGCGCUUCAUUUUUCUGCCCCGGGACGGAGCAAGCGGCUUGAACCUGGAUGGAAAAUAGAAGGCUACAUUCACACAUUUCUGGAAAGACCGUGUUUUGUGGGGGAGCCCCCAGCUAUGAUGGGUUUGCAAACCAGGGUUCACGGAGGAGGGAAUGCUACGGGGACGCCUGGUUAAACCAACGAGGGCUGACGUGUUGUGAAUCCGGUCCUUGACUCUCUUUCCCGUAACUGAACGUGCAGACAAGCAAAGUCAGAAUAAAGAACAAAGAAGGAGCAUUGUAGAAUGGAGAAGACUUCAGAGGUCAUCUAGUCCAGCUCCCUUCUCAGGGAAGGAGUCUGCAGAGUACAAAAUACAACGCGAGCAGAUAAAAACCAUCUUCCAAUUCAGAAAUGUCCUCGGGAAAUUCUCUCUGCUAAGCUGGAGCUGAGGAGACGAGGCGAAGAAAAAGGAGAGAAAACGUGGGGGGAAAAAAAGAGGAAUAUAAGCAUUUCGCCCUCUGUAAAGACAAUAUUUUGCCUGCACUCGAUGUAAACCAUCCUGCAUUGCAGGAAGUUUUCUUAUGUACAAUCUUGCGACGUGGAUAAUGUUAAAAACUGAUAUUGC